AUAUACUCACACAAAUAUACCUUCCUAGUUUCUCAAUGAUGAAAAAAUAACUAACACUUUCCUUGUCGAUCUCUCUGGGAAAUAUAAAAAACACUCGAUCUCUUCUGAUAACAAAUAAGUGAUCAAUAAAGAAGAAAGAGGCACUGAUGAUGAGUCUGCCGAACUACUACUACUACUUGUUUGUUAAUGUUAUUAUGAUUGGAUCAUCAUUAAUGACAAUAAUGUCCACACUAGCUUCAUCCAUUGCAAAACAAGAUUAUUGCCAAGACAAGUGUGGAGAUGUAGAUAUUCCAUACCCUUUCGGAAUUGGAUCAUCCGAAUGUUUUCUUGACAAACAAUUCGAAAUCUCCUGCGACAACAACUCUUCCACGCCUAUUCUCAAACACACUCAGCUACAGGUACUUAAUAUUUCAUUAAAACCUGAUUAUAGCUAUCGUGGUCCUCGUUCUCGUUAUUAUUAUAGCUAUGAUUACGAUCCCCAAUGGAUUGUGGUGAGAAACCCCAUUAGUUUCUUCGAUUGCGGAAACAAGACAAGGCAAGGAUCAGCAAAUUUAACAGGAACCCCGUUUUACUAUUCGAGUGACAAUGAAUUCAUUGCAGUAAGUGGUGGUGUCCUUGCCACGUUCAAAACAAGGUCAGGCAACAUGCACUUCGAGAAUGGAUGCUCAUCCAAUAGUACAACAACUACAUCAAGUAGUCAUAAUAUUAUUGAUUUUAGUAAUUGCGAUGGCGUUGAAUGUUGUACCACUUCCGUCGUCAGCCCUUCGAAUGUUGUGGGCGACAUGUUCGAAAUCUCCAUGGAUAAUGAUUCUUCUGGUACUCCUGCAAAUCAUAGCCAAUGCAAAUAUGCAUUCUUGAUAGAUUAUAAGGAAAUUCAUAUACAUAAAACAUUUGGUGAUCUGGAUUAUGUUCCCGUCCGGCUAAGUUGGUCCCUUAACCGUACGUAUUUCGAUGUAUUUAAAACACAUGUUAUACCAAACGAAACUAGCAAUUUCUAUUGUCGAACUUCGACGGACAAUAAUAAUAACUACCGCCGUUUAGAAUCCUCUUUGGAUCGGAUAAUUGGUUGUUCGUGUAAUUAUGGACUUCGAGGGAAUCCCUAUCUGGUCGGUGGGUGUAGUCAAGAUAUUAAUGAAUGCAUUGAGUACAAAUCGCCAUGCCCUGAAGGCUCUACUUGCGUCAACACUUUCGGGGACUAUCACUGCAGUUAUAAACGCAAGGCUAUCUUUAUAGGUGUGGGGAGUCCUCUUGGAUUAUUAGUUCUACUAUUUGGUACAUGGAGACUAUACAGAUUCAUAAAGAAAAGAAAAGAAAUUAAACGCAAGAAAGCAUUUUUCAAACGAAAUGGCGGCCUUUUGUUGGAACAACAGAUACACUCAAGUGAAAACAAUGUCGAGCAAACGAAACUGUUCGAGUCAAAAGAGUUAGAGAAGGCAACUGAUAAUUUCAAUAUAGAUAGAGUUCUUGGGCAAGGAGGCCAAGGCACUGUGUACAAAGGAAUGUUGGAAGAUGGAAAGAUUGUUGCUGUAAAGAAGUCUAAAAUAAUUGAUGAAGCCAAACUCUCUGAAUUCAUCAAUGAAGUUGUCAUUCUUACACAAAUCAAUCAUAGAAAUGUUGUCAGGCUAUUGGGAUGUUGUCUGGAGACAGAUGUUCCACUUCUAGUUUAUGAAUUCGUCCCAAACGGAACACUUUUUGAGUAUAUUCAUGACAAAAAUGUAGAGUUUCCUUUCACAUGGAAUAUGAGAUUACGAAUUGCCACUGAAGUUGCAGGAGCUCUUUCAUACUUACACUCAGCAGCUUCUUUUCCAAUUUAUCAUCGAGAUAUCAAGUCUACAAACAUACUUCUUGAUGAAAAAUUGAGAGCUAAAGUUGCAGACUUUGGUACAUCAAGAACUAUCUCCUUAGAGCAAACUCACCUGACCACUUUAGUUUAUGGCACAUUUGGCUAUCUUGAUCCAGAAUACUUUCAGUCUAGCCAAUUCACAGAUAAGAGUGAUGUUUAUAGUUUUGGAGUAGUUCUUGUCGAGCUCUUGACUGGACAAAAAGCAAUAUCUGCAACAAGGUCAGAUGAGGAAGGAAGAAGUUUGGCAACAUAUUUCAUAAUGACAAUGGAGGAAAAUAGCAGUAUUCUGUUCGACAUUCUCGAUGCUCAAGUUGUCAAAGAUGCGCCAAAAGAAGAGAUCUUAAUUGUUGCUAAUCUUGCACAAAAAUGCUUACACUUGAGCGGAAGGAAUCGACCUACCAUGAAAGAAGUAGCAAAGGAGCUAGAGAGGAGGAUUCAAGGCAUUGAUAAUAAAGAUGCAAAGGGUAGUCAACAUGAUUAUGAAGAGCUAGCAUAUGCACAACCUGAAGUUAUAGACUACUCUUGGAAUGCUUCCACGUCAUCAACUUUUGAUAGUAAUGCAUCUAGUUCUUCUUUGCAUCAAGAAUUACCAUUAUUAUAAGCUCUCAGCUCACAUUAUUCUCACGCACCCCACUGGUACAGUCUCUCUCUCAUUCUCAUUUCUCAUAUAUAUAUAUAUAUAUAUAUUAUGCUGCUGUAGAUAAAACUAUGCAGUGGAAUAGAUUCUUGUUUUCAUAUUGUUGUUUCAACAUGAUGAAUUGUGAUCCCUCUUCCUCUGUUAAGCAACUGAAGUUGUCAAGUUUGUGUAAUAUUGAUAUUCCUCAAUAGAAAACUAAAAUGGAACGAAAUUACCGAUCAAUAUUUUCUGGCUGAGUCGCGGACAAAAUCGCUCUCUUUAAGACGUUUCGCGGCUCUGCCCUAAGUGUGCACGGCAGUCUAUCAACCACACCAUCCCCAGGAUAAAACAGCCUCUGUACGAUUCCUCCCUGCACUGAGAAGAUCGUUCUUGUACACCCUUAUAAAAAUGCUCUGAGAAAAUUCGUAGAACCAAGAAAGAACAAAAAAACUCUCUGUUUUUUUUUCAAAAUUGUUCUAUCUAACUUAUACACAGAAGAAAAUCCCCAAAACGUCUAAAAACGUUUUUCUAUUAAAUCAGAGGAGGAUUAAACGGCUAAAACGUUUAUCUUCAUUUAAUUAAAAUAAAAACCGUUUUUGUUUUAUUAAAAUGAACGUUUUUUAAAAUUAAUAAAAUGAUAAACGUUUAGAUACCUUUGUUGAAAAAAAAUUAAAACUUAAAAAUACGACACCACACCACACCACUCACUGGCUCAGUCGGCGGCGGCGCGCGUGUGUGUGUCCUCACCCAUUCGCACAAACCUGGGUACUCCCUGGGGGACACCCCAAGUCAUAGCAUUUGCAACUUAUAUACACUCUAUGAAGAGUGUUCCAAUUCCAUGUUUAUCAUCCAAAAUAAUAUUUUGGAGAGUCUCUUCUUUAUCCUUGGUUCAACAAUGGAUUUUGUUUGGGGGUGAUAUUGUAGUCAUUUUGCAGACAUAUAUUGCCUUUGGAAGUUGGUUUUGAUGAGUUGGAUAUUGUAUGGAGUUAUCAACAUUUGAAUUCAUGAGACUUUGUUAUGAACAUUUUAUGGACUUUAUUAUAUAUGUACGAGACUUUGAAUUAUAUUUUAGACUUGUAGACUUUUAUAAGUGUGAGAUUUUAGAUAAUUUAGACUUGUAAUCUUUAUGUUCAAUUAUGUAUAUUGUAGACUUUAUUAUGCCGGUACAAGAUUUCUAUUUAUAAUGAGAAAUACAUUUUCAUUGUAGAAA